rnacentral:rRNA from 1 species
GACGAACGCUGGCGGCGUGCUUAACACAUGCAAGUCGAACGGAAAGGCCUUUUCGGAGGUACUCGAGUGGCGAACGGGUGCGUAACACGUGGGUGAUCUGCCCUGCACUCUGGGAUAAGCCUGGGAAACUGGGUCUAAUACCGGAUAGGACCGCACUUUAGUGUGUGUGGUGGAAAGUUUUUUCGGUGUAGGAUGAGCCCGCGGCCUAUCAGCUUGUUGGUGGGGUAAUGGCCUACCAAGGCGGCGACGGGUAGCCGGACUGAGAGGUUGGUCGGCCACAUUGGGACUGAGAUACGGCCCAGACUCCUACGGGAGGCAGCAGUGGGGAAUAUUGCACAAUGGGCGCAAGCCUGAUGCAGCGACGCCGCGUGGGGGAGGACGGCCUUCGGGUUGUAAACUCCUUUCGCCAGGGACGAAGCGUUUUGUGACGGUACCUGGAGAAGAAGCACCGGCUAACUACGUG